CCUACGGGAGGCAGCAGUGAGGAAUAUUGGUCAAUGGACGAGAGUCUGAACCAGCCAAGUCGCGUGAAGGAUGACUGCCCUAUGGGUUGUAAACUUCUUUUAUAUGGGAAUAAAAUGUUCCACGUGUGGGAUUUUGUAUGUACGAUAUGAAUAAGGAUCGGCUAACUCCGUGCCAGCAGCCGCGUUAAUACGGAGGAUCCGAGCGUUAUCCGGAUUUAUUGGGUUUAAAGGGAGCGUAGGUGGAAUGUUAAGUCAGGUGUGAAAGUUUGCGGCUCAACCGGAACAUUGCAGUUGAAACUGGGAGUCUUGAGUACAGUAGAGGUAGGCGGAAUUCGUGGUGUAGCGGUGAAAUGCGUAGAUAUCACGAAGAACUCCGAUGGCGAAGGCAGCUCACUGGACUGCAACUGACACUGAGGCUCGAAAGUGUGGGUAUCAAACAGGAUUAGAUACCCGAGUAGUC
rnacentral:rRNA from 1 species